rnacentral:tRNA from 1 species
GCUGCAGUGGUCCAGUGGUAGAUCUCCCGUCUUCCAUAUGGGAGAUCCGGGUUCAAUUCCUGGCCAAAGCA